GCUCCUUUCAUUAGAAACAGCGUCCAACGUUUUACAUUAUUUUGUUACGGACAGGGAAUUUAUGGGAAUAAAACAAAUAAGCGCUGUGAUGUUAUUUUACGACAGUUUCCAGCAGCGGACGGCAUGACUCGUGCAAGUGUGAUUGAGUGUUGUUUACAAAAUUGACAGUUCUCUCAUCUUCUCUAAGUUAUUGUAGGCUUUAUAACGCGUUUCAUAUUGUGAAUUUAGAGUAUUAAGGUAACAGAAGAUAUGGGGGAAGCCAAUGAAAAAGAGUGCGCGUGUGGAACUAUCCUCUACAUUUCAGAAAUGCUUCUCUCUGCUUGGGUUUUCUAAAUUACCAUGCUGCUAACUUACAAUUCAGCUAACUAGCAAGGGAAGAACUGCAUAUCUAUGUAAUCAACCAACCCUGUCUCCGUUUUUGUAGACUAAUAAAAAGUGAGAAUGCUAGGUAUGGGUUGACUAUCUAAAAGAGCUAGUUAUUUAUAUGCUAUGUGUCGGUAGCUAGCUAAUGCCAGCUGAUCUGAGCCGAGCUGGUGAUGAUGAUGAUGAUGAGCAUUGCUGAUGUCAUCAAUCAGCUGGUCGAAGCGCAUGAAGAAGGAAAUUAAGUCAACCUCAACAAAUCGCUGUAGUGGCUGUGACGUGAAAACCCCAUCGUUGUCCUCACAUCAGUUUCAGAGGAAACAUCUGUGUGUGGUCCGGACUCUUUGAAUACUCCACAGGCUAUGAGGUGCUCGGAAACGCAGUGUGUGGGCAUCGCCAUCGAGACGCGUCCUGACUACUGUUUGAAGAGUGUAACUGUCACCUCAGUGACAUGUUGGGGUACGGCUGUACCCGGCUGGAGAUAAGAGUUCAGAGCGUCUAUCGAGGACGUAGCACGGGACACCAACAGAUCCACAGAUGAUGCUAUCUCUAUUGAACUCCACACUGCCCUUUCCCACCUGGACAAAAG